UUUCUCUGUCUUGCUGACACACAGAGAGAAUGUCUUCAGAUUGCAUGCAUGCCUGCAACCCUCCCAGAGUGGUGACCCUGAGUAGAAAGCCUGAUGAUAAAGUCAGCAGCAGCCAUGACCAAUUGAGUUAGCCCUUUCUUGAGUUUUGUAAAACUCUGUAAGCCUCUUGGUUCUGAUUCAAUAAAAGAAAGAAGGGGGCAGAGGAUCUUCUAGAGAACCGCAGUUAGAUUUUCUACUCAGCAGGAGGCUGAACAAGAUUUAAUUUGAUAUAGGACCAUUAAAAAGUAAUGUUUCUUGUACCGAAUUUGCCACAGAGCAAUUCAUAUCGUUGUAGGAUUUUGUUUCUUACUUCACAGUUGGGACUAGUCAUUCUCCACAAUGCCUUUAUGAAGUCUUGAGUUUAAGAAUUCCUUCCAUCAUUGCAUUGGAAUCUGGCUUAGAUGCACACCCUAUUGUUAAGCGUCUGGUGAUCAUGUAAACUGACCUCUGCUUGGGUAUGCUAAAUAGCACAUGGGAACAUGGGAAUAGGCCCCAGAGGCUAGAAAAUGUUGAAGAGACACAUAUGUCAGUUUUUUUUCAGUGAACUGAGGAAAGGCCAUCAUAAAUCAAGGUCAGAUGAGGAAUAUCUGGAUUUAACUUCCGACAAUACGGUCAAGACCUAUAAAGAGAGCAAUGCUUCUCAAACUUUAAUGUGCAUGUUAUUUGGGAUUGUCUGUCACUUAAUAUAUAAGGAUGGACAACAGAGAUAUGGUCAUGAUGGAAUAUCCUAGAGUCCUGGACCUAUGUGUGCAUGUGUGUCUAUUUGUGUCCUGGGCAGCUACCAAGCAGUGGACCAAGGUAGCAGUUUGUUUUUAGCUGCAUAUUAUGCUUUCUUGACCUCCUUGUUAUCCCUUCUUAUGGUGACAGUUGCUGUAUCCUUGACUCUGUUCCAGGCUGGGCCUUAAAUGGUGUCUCAUACCCUGGCUCCAGGAAUAAAUUAGGCCAAUUGAAUUUUGUCUCCUAGAAC
rnacentral:lncRNA from 12 species